rnacentral:rRNA from 1 species
AUGGAUUCUGAAGCAAUGAGUACCUGUAAAAAGGCCAUGGUGGAAUCUACAUCUGUUGUGAGUUCAGACAGACUGAGCAGUUUGCCUCCAGAGAUAAAGGGCGACAUCCUCUCCCGUUUGAAUGUCGAAGAAGCGGUUAGGACUAGCACCUUGUCAAGUACUUGGAGGGAUGCAUGGACUAAUAUGCCAAAACUAAUUCUGCGUGAUGGAAAUUUUGCAAAACACAAGUUCGUCACAUUAGUCGAUAUGGUGCUAUCACUCCACAACGGAACUGUAGAGAAGUUCGAGAUUUCAGGUAGCAAGACUUACCAUGACGAGUUCGGCAGGUGGAUGCUCAUGCUUUCUAGGAGAUCACCAAGAUCAGUUAGAAUCGAGUUGAACUCUGGGCCAGGGUAUAGGAUUCCCUCAUGUCUAUUUUCUAUCGGCGAUUUGAAGCUUCUCUACCUGCAAAACUGCAUCAUCAGCUUGCCCCGGGUAUUCCAAGGUUUCAAGAGAUUAACUCACCUCAACCUGAUAAAGUUCUCCUCCACAGACUUGGACAUCCAAAAUCUGGUCUCGUUUUGCCCCGUACUGAAUUAUUUGAAACUAUCUUAUUUUGAGGGCAUCAACCAUCUAAACGUUCAAGCUCCUAAACUGAAACAUAUUUAUGUUGUCGGGGACUUUAAAGACAUUAUUUUUGAUGCCCCCAAUUUGGAGGGGGCCAUUCUCUUUCCUUAUCACAAAGGUAAAGCAUAUCCUUUGGAUCCAAUUGCGCUUCACAAGGAAAGCUAUGUCAAGCAGUUAUUGGGAAGCCUAAGUGACAUCAAAAGCCUUGCAAUUAGCGGCUUUUUACUGAUGUAUCUAUCAAAUGGUUUAAUACUUACGAACCUCCCUGCCGUGUUUACUCGCCUAGAGAGUAUUUAUCUUGCAAUAUGCUUUGGGGACGAGCGGCAACUCUUGGCCGCUUGUUCAUUGUUUCAGAAUGCCCCUAACUUAAAGAAGCUUGACAUAUGGAGGCCCUCUUCGAGCUCAUGGGUUCAGGAUCAGGUUCAAGAUCAGGUUCAUGAUCAGGCGAGCAUUCCAGAGCUUACCAUGCAAGUACAAUUGGAUCAUCUUGUAACAGCCAGUGUGAAAGGUUUCAGGGGUGUGGACUGCGAAGUCGAUUUCGUGGCAAAGCUACUGAACUGGGCACCGGCUCUGGAAGAAGUGCAGAUAGAAUGGAAGGGCAAAACAGAGUGCAGCAUGGUUCUUGCCAAGCUAUUAGCUCUGCCGAGGGUGUCUCCCAGGGCCAAGGUCAUUGUGACAUUUUGA